rnacentral:rRNA from 1 species
AGAAUCAACGCUGGCGGCGUGCCUAACACAUGCAAGUCGAACGAGAAAGUGGAGCAAUCCAUGAGUAAAGUGGCGCACGGGUGAGUAACACGUGACUAACCUACCCUUGAGUGGGGAAUAACUUCGGGAAACCGAGGCUAAUACCGCAUAACACCUACGGGUCAAAGGAGCAAUUCGCUUAAGGAGGGGGUCGCGGCAGAUUAGUUAGUUGGCGGGGUAAUGGCCCACCAAGACAGUGAUCUGUAUCCGGCCUGAGAGGGCGCACGGACACACUGGAACUGAAACACGGUCCAGACUCCUACGGGAGGCAGCAGUGGGAAUUUGCGCAAUGGGGGAAACCCUGACGCAGCAACGCCGCGUGGAGGAUGAAGUCUCUUGGGACGUAAACUCCUUUCGAUCGGGACGAUAAUGACGGUACCGAGAGAAGAGCCCCGGCUAACUUCGCGCCAGCAGCCGC